UACGGGGGGGGCAAGCGUUGUUCGGAAUUACUGGGCGUAAAGGGCUCGUAGGCGGCCAACUAAGUCAGACGUGAAAUCCCUCGGCUUAACCGGGGAACUGCGUCUGAUACUGGAUGGCUUGAGAUUGGGAGAGGGAUGCGGAAUUCCAGGUGUAGCGGUGAAAUGCGUAGAUAUCUGGAGGAACACCGGUGGCGAAGGCGGCCACCUGGACGGUGACUGACGCUGAGACGCGAAAGCGUGGGGAGCAAACAGG
rnacentral:rRNA from 1 species